ACAUAGCAUAGGUCACAAACGACGUCGGUUCUGCGUGUUCUUAGUCAAAAAAACAUAAACCUCUUUUCAAUUCCACAGGAGGGUUUUAGUUAAAAUCACUUCCCAGCACCAUUUUUUUUUUUUUUUAUCAGUUUUUCUACCACCUGUGGAGUUCAAAAAUUCAGUCAGGCACAGAAGUCAUUGCUUCUACUCAACUAAACAGAGCUCUCAUAUGGCGCCUAUCUGGAAUGCACUGCAUGUUCAGAUGGCUACAAGAAAGAGCAGCAGAAAGUAUAUGGAUUUCUUUUGUUCUACAGAAUAAAAAAGAAAAUGCAAAAAGUACUUGCUUUAUAAGCUGUUUAUCUUAAUGGCUCGAGUCAAAUUCAGGUCAGCCAAGUGGACAAAUCCAGCAAUCAGCUUUCUUGUGGUGAAAGUAAGUUAGGAGAGUAUUUUGAAUUCGUGUUUGCAAGUCACUAAAUCUAUCAUGAGGCCUAGUUGACCAUUUUUUACCAUUACACCUUACUUUGACUUUUGAUUGGACAAUUGUUAUUUUUAA